rnacentral:lncRNA from 10 species
UCAGAAGGAAUUUGGUUUUCAAUGUAAUGAAACAUGUACAUGUUCUCCAAUGCUGACAUAGAAAAGAAAGACAAAGAAUGGCUUAAUCACUGACUGUCAAAUAAAUGAAGGCCUAUCAACUGGAGAGAAACUGUUAGAUAAAAGAGAGAGAGAACUAAAACAAAAGAUCUACCCUAGAAGGAAGCACCAUUUUGAUUCUAAAGAUUGUGGGAGUCUCUUGGGCUCAUUGUUCUUGAAAAACUAUCUGUGGCAGUUCUUUGAGGCCUGGGAUUAAAAGGUGUUUCUCCAAGGAGAACUUGUUAGUGAUCUGCCUGGUGCCUAUACCAAAUUUUGGAGGUUCCCUGGAGUACUCAACCUGCAAAUCAUCUCAGAGAAAACAGAAAUGGAAAUAAUAUGAAGAUUCCUAGAGAGAAAACAAAGAGAUGGCAGAGAUAGCAUCUCAUUCAGGAAGUUUCAAACUGAAAGGGUCUGAGUGAGGACAGCUGCUACAGAAUUCCAUGACCUCUGCAAGACUUUCUGCCCUUUGAAGGAGAUGAUGGCCAGAUAUCAGCUUGAAAAUCAUGGCAAGCUCAGUUUGGCUGAAGAAGGAAGAAAGAAUGCCCAUGGCAAAACAAACAAACAAAUAAACCACACAAUCUGACACAUUGAUGAAUAAGCAAAGGCUUCGAUAUACAGAACUGCUCUUCCACACAGAUUCUCUUUUAUUCCUGGAAACUACUGGACACCCAAAUGAAAAAAAAAUUUCUCCCUCCUAACAUGACUCAUCACUUUAGAUCAAUCUGCUAACUGGUACUCUUCCAUUGCCAUAAAAUAGUGAAGGGAGGAUUUGAUGACAGAAAACCUGGGUUCAAGUAAAUAUGCCAUUUCUGGCUGUGUGAUUUUAGGCAAGACACUUAACCUCUCUGAGUUUAGCUUUCUUGUGGGUAAAAUACAGAAAAUGGCAACAUAUAUCAGUUAUGAUAAUUAAUUGAGCUAAUGUAUGUGAAGGUGUAUUUUGCCUCUAGAUGGUCAUGCAGUUUAGGACAUUGUGUCUUCGAAUGGGCUAAGGAGGAGAAGAAAGUGAAGAGAAUGCUGCUAAUGAAUAAAGCUGCUUCUAAACCCCAUCCACUCUGCAGGAACACACAAAUACAUCCAGAUUUAUGCAGACUGGUGUCAGGGGCUGCAUUCAUUGGCCAAUUUAAAUAAUUUUAUAUCUUAAAAUAAUUAUGGCAUUUGUAGUAGUGUUUUCCAACACAUAUGAGGUCUAAAACAAAAUGCCCCCAAAGACAACCACAUGCAAUCAUUGCAUUCAUUUUACAUUUUUAAUGAAUCUCCCUGCUCCCAGAGCUCUGUUGCUAUUCCCAGCAGCCCGGGUUCUGUUUUGUGUUCCUUCGUGGGUACACAGGGCAACCUGCCUGUUUUCUUGUCUCCAUAUGCAUUUUAACUUCAUAAGAAGACAGGAUAUGAG